UACGAAGGGUGCAAACGUUGCUCGGAAUUAUUGGGCGUAAAGCGCACGUAGGCGGCAUUGCAAGUCGGAUGUGAAAUCCCCUCGGCUUAACCAAGGAAGUGCAUCCGAAACUGCAGUGCUUGAGUACUUAAGAGGAUCGCGGAAUUCCCGGUGUAGAGGUGAAAUUCGUAGAUAUCGGGGAGGAACACCGGUGGCGAAGGCGGCGACCUGGGUCGAUACUGACGCUGAGGCGCGAAAGCGUGGGGAGCAAACAGG
rnacentral:rRNA from 1 species